GUUUGAUGACGCUCGCAUAUCAGCUGUGUUGAUUGAACCGCCAAAACGAAUACCGGCUUCAAGCAAACAAGUAUCCGGUUCUAAGUUUGUUGCAAAUAAAAUCAAUUUAAAAUUGUGUACGCCAUGUCACCAGCCAAAUACAGUGUGAAGUUAGUAAGGGAAGGUGAAACCAUCGAACAAUGCACCACACAGAACGCAAAUCUUCGACGAAUAGGCGUUCGUUUGAAGCGUCCGAACCCGCUGUUCGAAGUGUGGCUGGAAGAGAUGAUUGCCAAAGCGGAGGAAAAAAACACGAUGGGUAAAAUAGCGCUCCAGAAAGCACUCAACUCCUUACGCCGGUAUCCGCUUCCGCUGGCAUCGGGACGGGACUGUAUUGUGCUGAUGGAUUUCGGCAAAACAAUCUGUGACAACCUCGAUCGACGGCUGAAAGCAUACCUUGCCAGCGGCGGGCGUGUAACGACGGAUCACAGUGGCGCCAUCGAGGCAAUCUUGAACGACGAACAGGCGGAAUACUACCGUGAGCUAACUGAAGCUUGUCGUAUAAAUGCAGAAGAACCAGCGCAGGAAGUAGAACCGAUAGAAGAAGCAAUGCCAAACGAUUCCAUAUUUGAUCACGUACCUGUUGCUGCUGUUAGCUUAGGAGAUGGGGAUUUUGUUCGUAUAUCGCACCCGAAAGCGAUUCUGCUGGUAGACACGUGUGAAACGAUUGGCAAAUCGAAGAGCAGUCUCGAUCGAACACUGCAACAGCUGGCACAGCACUCCGUCGCACAUGAAGUCCGCCGGCUAACCGUGGGUGAUUUUGCGUGGAUCGUAAAAGCCGACGACGGACGCGAGUUUCUGCUGCCGUACAUACUGGAGCGCAAGCGGAUAGAUGAUCUGGCAAGCAGCAUCAAGGACGGGCGGUUUCACGAGCAAAAGUUUCGUCUAAAGCAGUGCGGACUGCCAAACGUGAUCUACCUGAUCGAGCAUUUGGGAAACAAUCGACAGGUCGGUGUACCGGAGGCAACGCUAACGCAGGCGGCGCUCAACACCUACGUUCAGGGGUUUACGGUAAAGUACACGGAAAACCAUCAUCACACCGUGCUCUACCUUUCGGUGAUGACGAACUUUCUGAACAAUUAUCUCAAGGAUAAACUAUACCUGAACGUUACCGAUCGACCCGCUUCGGAUGAUCCGCGCGACGCUUUCCGCUUUUCCAGCCAAACGGUCCCGCUACUAUCGUUUGAUUACUUCUACAAACAAUCGGCGAAAACGCGCGACAGCACCGUUCAGGACGUUUUCAUGAAGCAGCUGCUGCAGAUAAAGCUGCUGACGAUCGAGAAGGUGAACGCGAUCGUGGAUAAGUACCCGACCCCGCAGCGACUGUUCCGGGCGUACGAGCGGUGCCCCAGCGAGACCGAACGCCAGCGCCUGCUAAACCUACCGUACGGACCGACGAACCGGAUGAUUGGAGAGAAGCUGAGCAAAAUCAUCUACCAGCUAAUGAUGAGCGAACGGUACAACACUUCCUAGCGCGUGCUGCCCUAAGCAAAGGAUAAUGGUGAAGCCGCUGCAAAGACGAGCUCUAAGUGCUGUACGGUCGUGCACCGAAUUAAACUCGCCAGGCCCUGGUGGGCUGGUCAUGUUAUGAAAAUGACACCGGACGAUUCAGCCCUUAAUAGGUAGGCACAAACUGAGAUGGAGUGAAGGCAUUGAUGCGUCGGCCAGAACGGCCGGGAUAAUCGAUUGCCAGACGACGGUGCGUUGGACCGUGUGCGGUAUCGAGGAUAAUUGAAACAGGACAAGAUAACACGCGAGACGACCUCUAUUUACAUUCGUAACAUCAAAGGCUGAACUGAUGGUGAAGUCCUUCGUACAAGAGAUGGUUUCUUGACCGAACGAAUCGAAUCGAAGGGAUAAGGAAAAUCUGCAUCCUUCCUGCCAGAAAACUGCCGGUGAUGGUGAGCCUUUCGUUGUCGUAUUCGAACAACGAAAUUGGAGUGGCAAGAGGAAUCCGGAACCGUGUAAGAUGGGACACAAUCGCAUCCCCUUCAACCGCGACGUAACUGCAUGGUGGAACCGUCUACUUCUGGCUGCAGUCAACAAUCUUCUGAGCUUCGGCCUGUGUCGGAUAGGAACGGUUAAAUGACGAGCAGCGAGUCAACCGGUGUUUUGCACGCGUCCUGCUGCCCGAAGCUACUGCCGAGCGGAUUAAUUCCCAUCGCGCCUGGCGAACGCUUGCCCCAGGCCGGCGUGAAGGUCAGCUGUGGAACGAACGGUAUUCCAUUAGCCUCAUCUUUAAGGGCACGGUCGCGUACUUCGCUCCAUCGCCGAGGGUUUUCGGGUCGCGCGGUAAACAUCCAUCUGUGCUUACCUGUGCUUCGCAGAUGAACAUCAAAGAGGCGCAAAUCAGAAGGACGCCCAACAGCUUCACGGUAUCCAUAUCGUUUGCGAGAUCUCGGCGGUAGAUUAAUUAGAAUUUUGUUAUUUGCUUUUUAAUGUUUGCUUGCCCGCGCUGCAACUGGACGCUCGGUGUACCCCGGUGGUGGUGGGCGCUCGGAUUGAAUGGCUGCGUGGCUGUGCUUGCGGUAACGUGUUCCGAUUGAAUGAUGCGGCGUGUCUGAAUUCUGCCUGGUCGCUCGGUGUGCUUUUUUAUACCAAAACGCCUAGCCAGCCAGCCAGCCAGCCAGCCAGCCAGCCAGCCAGUCCUUGUACGGUUUCCGAAGCCAAUGCAAUGCUUAUUCGCUCCCCGGACAUAGGACAAGGAUGUUAGGAAGGAAAAAACUGGCUCCUAUGAUUGAGCGGGAGUAAUUAAAGAUCUAUCCAGCUUCCAGUUGCACGGUGUCCUUACGUACUUAGUCGCGAUUCGUACGAAUGUGGUGAUGCUGGGAGGUUGUUCGAUAUUUAGUUCUUUUUUUAAAUUAUCAAUGCUUUCAUCGAACGCUUUUGCUUCCCAGAGUUGCGUUGCUACUCGUCAUGUAUCCCAGAGUGAAGCAUCGAAGCUGAUGCUUUAGAUGUUGUAAAUCAAUAUGUAAUCGGUACGAUUUGUUUAAGUCCCACAAACAUAGGUAAAAAUCUACAUGCAUGAUGUUUAUGCAACGCAAAGCAAUAGCCUGAUAUUCCAAGUUAAAGAUUUUUUGCUGGCCGUAUUCUCCAAGAAUUGUAAUUCGUAUUUAUUUAGAGAAAAGAAAAUGAUUUCUUUAGGCCCAUUUAAAUGAUGUGUUAAAUAAUGUUAAGCAAAAAUAUAAAAUUUUAACGCUCUUAUAAUGCGGAGGAUCUGUUUGACAGCCAUUUGGGAGCGAAUUUCUUUAUUUAUAGAUCAAGCUAAAUAUGUAGAACUGUGAUUUAUGGUACGAUCAUUUGGCAAUAGAAGUCUAAGAUACAUUAUGCAUGAAGCAUAAAUGAAAUGCGUUUGUGAGAGAGAAUGUAUAAGACUUUCCUUCAAUUGAAUUGUUCGUUCAAGUGUUUUUUUAAAGUAUUAUAUAUAUUUUUUAAUGUUAAAACAUAACGGGAAUGAAAAUCAUUGUUAAAAUAUAUAAAACAAAA